rnacentral:rRNA from 1 species
UGGCGGCGUGCCUAACACAUGCAAGUCGAACGGAGCUACCGCGCUGAUGAUGGAGAUGCUUGCAUUGACAGAAUCUGCGAUAGCUUAGUGGCGGACGGGUGAGUAACGUGUGGAUAACCUGGUCCAUCCAGGGGGAUAGCAGCUGGAAACGGCUGGUAAUACCGCAUGAGCGCACACUACCGCAUGGUAGGGUGUGAAAAGAUUAUAUCGGGAUGGAAUGGAUCCGCAUCUGAUUAGCCAGUUGGCGGGGUAGAGGCCCACCAAAGCGACGAUCAGUAGCCGGCCUGAGAGGGCGGACGGCCACAUUGGGACUGAGACACGGCCCAGACUCCUACGGGAGGCAGCAGUGGGGGAUAUUGCACAAUGGGGGGAACCCUGAUGCCAGCGACGCCGCGUGGGUGAAGAAGUAUUUCGGUAUGUAAAGCCCUAUCAGCAGGGAAGAUAAUGACGGUACCUGAGUAAGAAGCCCCGGCUAACUACGUGCCAGCAGCAGC